rnacentral:rRNA from 1 species
UAUGUGAUCGUCUCUCGCAUAUCAAUAAGCGGAGGAAAAGAAACUAACAAGGAUUCCCCUAGUAACGGCGAGUGAAGCGGGGAAGAGCUCAAAUUUGAAAUCUUAAAGGGUUUCCCUUUACGAAUUGUAGUUUAAAGAAGUGUUUUCUGUUGAGGUUUUGGUAAAAGUUCUUUGGAAUAGGACAUCAUAGAGGGUGAGAAUCCCGUAUUUGACCUUUACUUUCAACUUUGUGAUACACUUUCAAAGAGUCGGAUUGUUUGGGAAUGCAGUCCAAAAUGGGUGGUAAAUUUCAUCUAAAGCUAAAUAUUGGCGAGAGACCGAUAGCGAACAAGUACCGUGAGGGAAAGAUGAAAAAGAACUUUGAAAAGAGAGUUAAACAGUACGUGAAAUUGUCAAAAGGGAAGCGUUUGACACCAGUGUUGUUUUUCUGAAAAUCAAUUAAAGAACUGUUUAUGCUAAGCUGUUUAGACUUUAUCAGCUAAUCUGUUUAGUUUUAGAGCUUUUCUUUAAUGCACUUUUCAGUUAACAAGUCAACAUCAAUUUCUUUUGCUGUAAAAAAGCUUGAGGAAGGUGGCUUGAGAUUCGUCUUAAGUGUUUAUAGCCUCUUGCCUAUGCAGUCGGAGAGAUUGAGGUCUGCAGCGUAGAUCCUUCGGGGCUAAAUGCAUUUGUGCUAAGUUAUAGCAUUUUAUAGACAACUUGUUGACUAUGAUUUGUCUUGUAGCUUACUCGCUUAUGUUAUUUUACCUACGCUUAGGAUGUUGAUCUACAGAGCGAGAGU